AUUGAACGCUGGCGGCAUGCCUUACACAUGCAAGUCGAACGGCAGCACGGGUGCUUGCACCUGGUGGCGAGUGGCGAACGGGUGAGUAAUACAUCGGAACAUGUCCUGUAGUGGGGGAUAGCCCGGCGAAAGCCGGAUUAAUACCGCAUACGAUCUACGGAUGAAAGCGGGGGACCUUCGGGCCUCGCGCUAUAGGGUUGGCCGAUAGCUGAUUAGCUAGUUGGUGGGGUAAAGGCCUACCAAGGCGACGAUCAGUAGCUGGUCUGAGAGGACGACCAGCCACACUGGGACUGAGACACGGCCCAGACUCCUACGGGAGGCAGCAGUGGGGAAUUUUGGACAAUGGGCGAAAGCCUGAUCCAGCAAUGCCGCGUGUGUGAAGAAGGCCUUCGGGUUGUAAAGCUCUUUUGUCCGGAAAGAAAUCCUUGGCUCUAAUACAGUCGGGGGAUGACGGUACCGGAAGAAUAAGCACCGGCUAACUACGUG
rnacentral:rRNA from 1 species